rnacentral:misc_RNA from 1 species
CAGCCGCGUAAUUCCAGCUCCAAUAGCGUAUAUUAAAGUUGUUGCAGUUAAAAAGCUCGUAGUUGAAUUUCGGGAUUGACACAUCGGUCGUGCCUUAAGGGGUAUGAACUGGUGUAGCCAAUUUCUCACCUUCUGGAGAACCGCGAUGUCCUUAAUUGGGUGCCGCGAGGAACCAGGACCUUUACUUUGAAAAAAUUAGAGUGUUUAAAGCAGGCAUUUUGCUUGAAUACAUUAGCAUGGAAUAAUAAAAUAGGACGGCAUGAUUCUAUUUUGUUGGUUUCUAGGAUCACCGUAAUGAUUAAUAGGGAUAGUUGGGGGCAUUAGUAUUCAAUUGUCAGAGGUGAAAUUCUUGGAUUUAUUGAAGACUAACUACUGCGAAAGCAUUUGCCAAGGAUGUUUUCAUUAAUCAAGAACGAAAGUUAGGGGAUCGAAGACGAUCAGAUACCGUCGUAGUCUUAACCAUAAACUAUGCCGACUAGGAAUCAGACGAUGUUAAUUUUUUAAUGACUCGUUUGGCACCUUACG